UCUAAUAUGGCAGAUAAGUGCAACGGAUUUAAGCUCCGUAUAUAAAGGUAAACCUUUUAUUAGAA
rnacentral:tRNA from 1 species